rnacentral:rRNA from 1 species
UACGGAGGAUGCGAGCGUUAUCCGGAUUUAUUGGGUUUAAAGGGUGCGUAGGCGGCCUUUUAAGUCAGCGGUGAAAGUCUGUGGCUCAACCAUAGAAUUGCCGUUGAAACUGGCUGGCUUGAGUUGGGGAAAGGCAGGCGGAAUGCGCGGUGUAGCGGUGAAAUGCAUAGAUAUCACGCAGAGCUCCGAUUGCGAAGGCAGCUUACUAAGCCAUAACUGACACUGAAGCACGAAAGCGUGGGUAUCGAACAGG